rnacentral:rRNA from 1 species
GGGGAAUCUUGCACAAUGGGCGGAAGCCUGAUGCAGCAACGCCGUGUGAGCGAAGACGGCCUUCGGGUUGUAAAGCUCUGUCAGGGGGGAUGAUAGUGACAGUACCCCCGGAGGAAGCCCCGGCUAACUACGUGCCAGCAGCCGCGGUAACACGUAGGGGGCGAGCGUUGUCCGGAAUUACUGGGCGUAAAGGGCGUGUAGGCGGUUUUGCAAGUCAGCUGUGAAACCCCCGGGCUCAACCCGGGGCUUGCAGUUGAGACUGCGGGGCUUGAGUGCAGGAGAGGAGAGUGGAAUUCCUAGUGUAGCGGUGAUAUGCGUAGAUAUUAGGAGGAACACCAGUGGCGAAGGCGGCUCUCUGGACUGCAACUGACGCUGAGGCGCGAAAGCGUGGGGAGCAAAC